CACGUUUCUAUUUUCAUGAAUUUGUUGCUCGCAGUACGAACUUCGAUUCGUCUUCAAACGCCGAUGUUUAAAGCAAUAAAGAUUUGGUGACCGCAAUCAGUGUGUCACAUGCAGUACCUUGUGUUCAGGCAUUAAAAUAGCGUGUCCUUGUACACACUUUGUGUCCUUGUAAAAGGCGAAUGUGCCCUUGUAAAUUGAAAAGUGUGUACUUGAAAAUAUAUUAAACUGAAAACAUAUUAAUGUAAUCCACGCAAAAUGGCCAAAGAUUUUGCAAAUUCUUUUCUCAGAACUCUGGAAAUGCCAUUUCAGAGACCCCCUUAAAAGCUCGCGUCUUCGACGCUAAACUUGUGGCUUCGCCACUCGUUCUCGUGAGUCUGCACAUUUAUACCAAAAAUACGCCUCUGAAGGCAAAGUGUGUCCUUGUAAAAAUUCCGCAUUUUAAUGCCUGCUUGUGUUAAUAGGACAUAACUCAUAAGGACAUCAAACUAC